AGCGCUCGUUUAUGGAACAUAACACCGGUAGCCGAAACUAAGGGGGCAAAGGUGGAACAAAACACCAGGCUAGAAAGGCCGAGCCUUCCUCCUUUUACCAAGUAUAUAGAUGCAUUAAAUUAAAUAGCAUUAAUAUGGUGAUAUAACUAGGAACCCAUGUUUUCACAUGGAAGCAUCUGCACCUGCAACUAGCAACGUUAACAACAUGGUAAGCAAGCAGUAACAUAGCCAAUCAGUGGUUUGCUAGGUCGAACAGGUUGAAGGUUAUCAUGGCAUUGUUGAGAGGCUGAUAUUUAACAAGUGGUAGGUAACAAGACAUAAUCGAUAGAGGCGGCAAACUAGCAUGGCAAUGAUAGUAAUGGUAUCUGGGGAAAUGAUCAUCUUGCGUGAGAUCCCGCUUGGAAGAAGAACAACUCGGUGGAGUCGGCAAACCAUCGUAGUCGAACGGGUCCUCACUUCCGACACGCUUGCGGAACUCUAUCGAGACGAAGGAAACCGGAAACAAGAAUCAACACACGAUAUACACCACACGAUGCAAGACACACAUGAUGCAUGAACGUUCUAAUGCAAGGCAUGACAAUCACAACGAUCAAACACUACACAUUAAGUGAAGCUCGGUAUGCACCGGGUUACAUAUCGACGAAACUCCACGUUUAUUUAUUUAGUUCUAUCCCGAUUAGAUACACGACAAUAUUAAAUGUUAGUAAACAUGGCUCGAGGGUGAAGCACAAAUUAAUCUACCUAGCUAGGCAUUUUAAAUGAGGCCGGAAAUGACAUAUAGCAUCUCCGAAAUGACCCCACGUGUUAAAUUCUAAUUCAGUCCAGAUUUGUCCUAAUCAAAUUUUAAAUUUGUUAAACGUCGAAACAAAGUGGUUCACGUGAAACAACAUGUCGUUCUAGCCCAUUUACAUAUAUGGCUCAUCUCCAGCGGAGCUACGGAUAAAUAGCUAUGACCUAAACCGUUUUCAACACGUCGACACGCAAACCGAUGCAAACAGCACGCUAACAGUUUUAAACGUGCAUGAGAGUUGAAAAAAAUAUUAAUCUACGUGAAAUUCUAUACGCUUAACAUAUCUAACUUAUUCCGAUCCGACGCAUGGUUUGAAAUCUACGGGGGUUUGAAAACAAUACGCAAUUUUUCUGAAAUCUAGCAAAAUCCUAAUGCAGCAAAAAAGAAGACACGGGAAACAAUUAUGGGGCAAAGCUGGGAUUCGAACCCCAGACCCCUGCGUUGAAUCCAGGGCACUAACCAGUUGGUCUGGCUCCUGUUGUGUGAACUAACAGGGCCUCGAAGUUAAGUGAACCGAGGCAGAAACUAAUAUGCAAAGGGUAAAAUUCGUGAAAAAUAGAAAUGAAUCCACGGGGACUUGAACCCACGAUCUCCUGGUCGAUUAGAGCAGCGCUACCCAACUCGGCUAUGCAUGGCUCAGUGUUAAAUUGCUGCCCGAACUCCACAAAUACAAAGCAAAACGCGGGCCUUCUUCCC
rnacentral:lncRNA from 1 species